CAUGCUAGGUUAAUUGGCCACUCCAAAUUGUCCAUAGGUAUGAAUGUGAGUGUGACUGCUGUUACCAAGGCGCAGUGAAUGCACCAUCAUUAUUUGGUGUUUUGUAUUGAAUUCAGACGGAAGUCGUGAGGCACAUACAACUACUCGUAAAACAUCAUGGACGUUCGCACGCAAGAAGCAGCGAAGAAGUUUCUAUAUUUAAACCCCCCGCAACGUUUAAAUGGUAUGUUUGGAAACAAUACGGAUUCUCAAACAACGGCGAAAAACUCGACAAAACGUCCGCCAUUUGCAAAGAAUGCCGCGUUAAGAAGCCGUACAACGGCAGAACUACAAACAUGGAGACACCCUUAAAAAGGGGACACCGGGGGAAAAAAACAAACAAAACAGAUCCAGGAUGCUGACCGGGGUCAUCUCCACACCAUGACAGGACAGAGAGCAAUGAAACACCUCUAGUUGGAGUACUACAUGUAUGAGAAACAGAGCUGCUCAUGACCUUGACCUGAAAGGCCUACACCAUGGAUACCAGUAAUAAUGAGCCGGAUGACAUCACAUAUCGAAAUUCUGGUGUGGAGGCGGCAAUUGAGAACGGAUCGGACAAGUGAUGACCGUCUGCAAGGAAUGAUGCCGGACUCCACACUGUUCUGUUUAUUUAAGACUAUUUUAAUGGACCUUUGUCUGUCUGGAUGUAUUUAUUUUAUUAGUCGUGUUGGAAUUAUUUUCAAUUCAAAAUAUUCAUUUUGAUCAUUUGAAAAUAAUUUUUCCACCGCUAAUAAUCUU